rnacentral:rRNA from 1 species
UACAGAGGGUGCAAGCGUUAAUCGGAAUUACUGGGCGUAAAGCGUGCGCAGACGGUUGCGUAAGUCAGAUGUGAAAGCCCCGGGCUCAACCUGGGAAUUGCAUUUGAGACUGCGUAGCUAGGGUGCGGAAGAGGGAAGCGGAAUUUCCGGUGUAGCGGUGAAAUGCGUAGAUAUCGGAAGGAACACCUGUGGCGAAAGCGGCUCACUGGACCACAACUGACGCUGAGGCGCGAAAGCUAGGGGAGCAAACAGG